CACUCCCACACCCCAGUUCUGGUGUAGUCUGCAGCAUAAAAACUUGGUGAACUAGGAUGCCAGCAGCAACCUAGUGAAUGGAAGCCUGAGUGAACGCUCAUCCCUAAGCUGGGAAGAAUGCCCAUACAGUCAGAGAGGAUGCCAGUCCCCAGGAAGGACCCUCUUCCCCUUCCCCUAUUGAUCACAUUGGUGCAGGCAGAGCCAAAGCGGACAGCUACCCUCCCACCGGGCAGCAACUCUGGGCAACAAGCCAGGACAGCAGCUGAGUAGAAGAUAAAGGCAUGGAAGAAGAGAUGCAACAGAGCCCAGCAGCCCUAUAAUCCCCUUGAGGAGGAAGAGGUCCCAGCUGCACUCAGCCUGUCCAACAGCUCUGUCCUGCCUCACUUGGAGUCCAUAUCCAAGUACCCGCACUCCUAGUACCACAUCAUGUUCACCAGCAGCCUCAAAACAAAGAAGCAUCCCACCACCUUGCUCACUCUUCACAUCUCCUGCCCCUUGCAUCCAGAGUUGGCCUUGGCCACAUUGUCACCAACACUCAGUACGGACAGCCUGUCAUCUGAAACCUCCAUCUGGAGCCUUUAGCUAUGCCAAAUACCUCCUCAGAUCCUGUCAUCCAUGCUCCUGGCAACCCUAGUGCAGUGGUGCUUCCUCUGGAAUCUGGAACCUGGUCCCUGGACGUCAGGUAAAGCUUUCCAGCAAGGACAAUCUUUUUAAGCAGAAGGUAUCACCUGAAACAUCUCAAUCGCAACAAAAGUCACGAAGGGAUCCAAGCCAAUAAAGCUGCCCUUUCAAGGGCAUGACUUCCUCCUUACCAAAUGCAAGGUUUAGACUGACCAGUAUACUUAUGAAGGAGACAUCCACAAAGAGGUGGACACUACCAAGUGCUAGAUGGAUUCUCUCUCAAACACUAUGGAUUCUCUCUCAAACACUAUGAGUUUCUGCUGAAGAGAAGCUUCCUGAUGGAGUCAAUGACAAAGGCUAGGAUACCAUGCUGACAGACUUGUGUUUGGAGUCCAAGCUUUUCUAUAUAUCAUCCACAAGAAGCACAUUCUGGUGUGGUGGGAGUCCAAUGCCUUCUCCAUAAGCCAGAAAAAGACUAGAUCAAGGAAGACUGGGGUGGUAGAUGAUGCAAAUGCAGGAGCUUGUGAUUCUCAUCUAGCAGUGCAACAUCAUCUUCAAAUGCCUGGAAGAGGACCAGGCGAGGGAGGAAGAGGAAGACAGAAUUUGUAAACUAUGACAAAAAAGAAAGAGUUCUAGAAAAAAUCUGAACCCAAAGGCAAGAAGGGACAGUUGAAGACCAGGAGAGUUCUGAAUCUACUAGGGAACAAGCAUGAUACCAACAGCAAUGCUCCACAGAGACAAC
rnacentral:lncRNA from 1 species